GAUGAACGCUGACGGCGUGCCUAAUACAUGCAAGUCGAGCGAAUGGACUAAGAGCUUGCUCUUAUGAAGUUAGCGGCGGACGGGUGAGUAACACGUGGGUAACCUGCCCAUAAGACUGGGAUAACUCCGGGAAACAGGGGCUAAUACCGGAUAAUAUAUUGAACUGAAUGGUUCAAAAUUGAAAGGCGGCUUCGGCUGUCACUUAUGGAUGGACCCGCGUCGCAUUAGCUAGUUGGGGAGGUAACGGCUCACCAAGGCAACGAUGCGUAGCCGACCUGAGAGGGUGAUCGGCCACACUGGGACUGAGACACGGCCCAGACUCCUACGGGAGGCAGCAGUAGGGAAUCUUCCGCAAUGGACGAAAGUCUGACGGAGCAACGCCGCGUGAGUGAUGAAGGCUUUCGGGUCGUAAAACUCUGUUGUUAGGGAAGAACAAGUGCUAGUUGAAUAAGCUGGCACCUUGACGGUACCUAACCAGAAAGCCACGGCUAACUACGUGCCAGCAGCCGCGGUAA
rnacentral:rRNA from 1 species